AUUGAACGCUGGCGGCAGGCCUAACACAUGCAAGUCGAACGGUAACAGGAAGAAGCUUGCUUCUUUGCUGACGAGUGGCGGACGGGUGAGUAAUGUCUGGGAAACUGCCUGAUGGAGGGGGAUAACUACUGGAAACGGUAGCUAAUACCGCAUAAUGUCGCAAGACCAAAGAGGGGGAACUUCGGGCCUCUUGCCAUCGGAUGUGCCCAGAUGGGAUUAGCUAGUAGGUGGGGUAACGGCUCACCUAGGCGACGAUCCCUAGCUGGUCUGAGAGGAUGACCAGCCACACUGGAACUGAGACACGGUCCAGACUCCUACGGGAGGCAGCAGUGGGGAAUAUUGCACAAUGGGCGCAAGCCUGAUGCAGCUAUGCCGCGUGUAUGAAGAAGGCCUUCGGGUUGUAAAGUACUUUCAGCGGGGAGGAAGGGAGUAAAGUUAAUACCUUUGCUCAUUGACGUUACCCGCAGAAGAAGCACCGGCUAACUACGUG
rnacentral:rRNA from 1 species